rnacentral:rRNA from 1 species
AUUGAACGCUGGCGGCAGGCCUAACACAUGCAAGUCGAACGGUAACAGGAAGACGCUUGCUUCUUUGCUGACGAGUGGCGGACGGGUGAGUAAUGUCUGGGAAACUGCCUGAUGGAGGGGGAUAACUACUGGAAACGGUAGCUAAUACCGCAUAUCGUCGCAAGCCCAAUGUGGGGGAUCUUCUGGCCUCUUGCCAUCGGAUGUGCCCAGAUGGGAUUAGCUAGUAGGUGGGGUAACGGCUCACCUAGGCGACGAUCCCUAGCUGGUCUGAGAGGAUGACCAGCCACACUGGAACUGAGACACGGUCCAGACUCCUACGGGAGGCAGCAGUGGGGAAUAUUGGGCAAUGGGCGCAAGCCUGAUGCAGCCAUGCCGCGUGUAUGAAGAAGGCCUUCGGGUUGUAAAGUACUUUCAGCGGGGAGGAAGAGAGUAAAGUUAAUACCUUUGCUCAUUGACGUUACCCGCAGAAGAAGCACCGGCUAACUCCGUG